GUUUAUAUAAUUUAAAAAAAAUAUUGGUCUUGUAAACCAAAAAUAAGAAAUUCUUUUUAAACU
rnacentral:tRNA from 1 species